CCCUUUCCCUUUCCGUGACCCACCCCCUCCUCCUUCAUACGGGUUUCACAUGCUUGAGCGCAGAACCAUGGUCCUAGCUGAUGGUUCUGUACGCUCUUACUUCGCUUUACCCCUUGAUUAUCAAGAUUUCCCCCGGCCUGAGUUUCGUGUCGGGCCGGGCUUAGAAUUCCAUGACGGGCUUAUGAGGAAUAGGAAUCAGGAAUAUUGGAAUUCAGAGCGGGCCCAUGUUGUUGGUGGUGAAAAUAAUAAUAUUACGAUGAAAAGGAAGUUUGGUGAUGAGGGAGGGAAAGAUGGGUCCCCGGCCAGAGUUUCGUGUCGGGCCGGGCUUAGAAUUCCAUGACGGGCUUAUGAGGAAUAGGAAUCAGGAAUAUUGGAAUUCAGAGCGGGCUCACAUUGUUGGUGGUGAGAAUAAUAAUAAUAAUGCAAUGAAAAGGAAGUUUGGUGA
rnacentral:lncRNA from 1 species